CGGCCGCACUAGUGAUUAGAGUUUGAUCCUGGCUCAGGAUGAACGCUGGCGGCGUGCCUAAUACAUGCAAGUCGAGCGAACAGAUAAGGAGCUUGCUCCUUUGAAGUUAGCGGCGGACGGGUGAGUAACACGUGGGUAACCUACCUAUAAGACUGGGAUAACUUCGGGAAACCGGGGCUAAUACCGGAUAACAUUUAGAACCGCAUGGUUCUAAAGUGAAAGAUGGUUUUGCUAUCACUUAUAGAUGGACCCGCGCCGUAUUAGCUAGUUGGUAAGGUAACGGCUUACCAAGGCGACGAUACGUAGCCGACCUGAGAGGGUGAUCGGCCACACUGGAACUGAGACACGGUCCAGACUCCUACGGGAGGCAGCAGUAGGGAAUCUUCCGCAAUGGGCGAAAGCCUGACGGAGCAACGCCGCGUGAGUGAUGAAGGGUUUCGGCUCGUAAAACUCUGUUAUUAGGGAAGAACAAAUGUGUAAGUAACUGUGCACAUCUUGACGGUACCUAAUCAG
rnacentral:rRNA from 1 species